UUGUCUCAAAGAUUAAGCCAUGCAUGUCUCAGUACGAGCCGCUUUAAGGUGAAACCGCGAAAGGCUCAUUAAAUCAGUUAUGGUUCCUUAGAUCGUACCCACAUUUACUUGGAUAACUGUGGUAAUUCUAGAGCUAAUACAUGCAGACAGAGCUCCGACCGGAGACGGAAGGAGUGCUUUUAUUAGAACAAAACCAAUCGGCGGCGGGCGCGUUCGCGCGUCCGUUCGUCGCUCUACCUGGUGAAUCUGAAUAACUUUCAGCUGAUCGCACGGUCUCGCACCGGCGACGCAUCUUUCAAAUGUCUGCCUUAUCAACUGUCGAUGGUAGGUUCUGCGCCUACCAUGGUCGUAACGGGUAACGGGGAAUCAGGGUUCGAUUCCGGAGAGGGAGCCUGAGAAACGGCUACCACAUCCAAGGAAGGCAGCAGGCGCGCAAAUUACCCACUCCCGGCACGGGGAGGUAGUGACGAAAAAUAACGAUACGGGACUCAUCCGAGGCCCCGUAAUCGGAAUGAGUACACUUUAAAUCCUUUAACGAGGACCCAUUGGAGGGCAAGUCUGGUGCCAGCAGCCGCGGUAAUUCCAGCUCCAAUAGCGUA
rnacentral:rRNA from 1 species